GGCUUGGACGCGCCCGGGAGAGGACGGAGGGGUGUUACGCUGCCUGGCUCUCCCUUAUAACUCGUGGAUUAAUGGCUGUGGGAGGCUGUGCGUGGCCGGCGGAAGAGAGUGCGAGUGCUGUGUGUGCUGAGUGUGCUGCGCCUGGUGCUGAGAGAGGCGCGUGAGUGCUGGAAUGGCCGUGUGAGCUCGAUCAAAACAGUGCUGUGCCAAGCUUGUGUAUCCUGGAACAAGCCGCCGAGAUUGGAUUGACGGUGGAUUUUAAUGUCGGAUUUUUAAUGGAUGCAACGCUUCUACACGCUUCUAGUUAACGCCAUCUACGCCCACACGCCCCCGCAACAUGUACCCCACGCCGCGACCCCCAGGAGCGGGCCCCCCAGCGCCCCCCACUGGUCCCGGGCAGCUCAAAUUUACUAUUGCCGAAACUUGUGACAGAAUUAAAGAAGAGUUCAACUUCCUACAGUCACAAUACCACGCGUUAAAGUUGGAAUGUGAGAAACUGGCGAGCGACAAGACGGAGAUGCAGAGACAUUAUGUGAUG